CUGCGAAAUGCCGGAUCAGUGAUUCUAAUCCCUUGCAAGCUUCAUAGUUACACGUUGCAUGGUUCGGUUUGAA
rnacentral:sRNA from 1 species